CUCUGCUUCACCGCCACCUCCGCCAGAGCCACCAGAGCCACCACGUUGGCGGUCAACGCCACCGAGCUCUGCCGGAAGCACGCGCCGGCCAACUUCAGCCGGUUCUACUUCCCGUACCGCACGGCCAACGGGCUCCUCUGCGUCACCAACUGCACCCUCAACGUCCCCGGCUCCUUCGACUGCCACCGCGGGCUCUGCCGGCUCACCCUGGACGGGCCCCGGUGCUUCUGCCCGGACCUGCCCUGGUACCUCUCGGCCGGCGACCGCUGCCAGACCCACAUCAGCAAAGUGGGGCUGGGGUUGGGCGUGGGGCUGGGGCUGGGCCUGACCAUCCUCAUCCUCCUCAUCCUCUGCAUCGUCCUCACCGUCCGCUUGGCCCGAGGGAGGAAGAAAUCACCCGGACCGAGCGCGGCCACCGAGGACAAUUGGCCGGACGGGGGUCGCAACAGCCGCGUCACCGGGAUCUACCACGUCAACGGCAGAGGCGGCGGUGCCGGGAAAGGUCCCUACGGAUACAACACCUACAAGCCCAGCUCGGAGGUGGCCGACCCCCCGGCGUCGGUGGUGGCAGAAGGUGCAGCAGCCCUGUGACCUCCCCCAUACAUGGGAGGGGGUGACCAAGGUGCCCCCCAAGACCGAAGCCCUCGGAACCCUCAUUUUUGGGGAAAAAAAAGCUGGAAUCAGGAUCCUCUAUGAGAGAGGAGAGGUCCUCCCAUGCUCCUUUUUGGGGGGUUUCUCCUUGGAGAGGACAUCUUGGGGGGGUUUGGGGUUGGAUCCAGAUUUGGGAGCGUGACCAGAGGUGGAAAAUCCUCAUCUCUAUGGAAAUUAUAUUUAUUAACGUA